CGGGAUUCAGACGUUAAUUCGGUGCUCUGUAAAUCGGCCUUUUCUGGUCCAGCAGGUUUGCCGUAGUUCUACUACUGUAUAUAAAUAGCUUUAGCCAUUCCUCUUGACUGGAUUUGUUCUUUAUUCAUUCUACGAUGAAGACCCUGAAUGAAGAACCUUUUCUUCCUGUUUGGAAACCACCAUGAUAUUCUACCACCAGACACAAGAAAUGGAUGAAAUGGAGCUGCACUGUGACCUAGAGUCUUAAAACAGUAUGCUCCGAAACUCAGACUAACUCCGUCUAAGGUCGACUCUACAGCAAGCUGGAAUAGAAUGUGACAAACCACAUGGAACAAGUCAGCUGACUGCAACAUUUACACCUGUUGUGUGUUACACACCUGUGUCUGCAGCUGUCGAUCUCCAUUUGCUUUUUGGAAGAGCUGAACAACAUCAUCCGAUCAUCACCCACAUU